AGAGUUUGAUCCUGGCUCAGGACGAACGCUGGCGGCGUGCUUAACACAUGCAAGUCGAACGAGAAGACAUGAGAAGCUUGCUUCUUAUCGAUUCUAGUGGCAAACGGGUGAGUAACGCGUAAGCAACCUGCCCUUCAGAUGGGGACAACAGCUGGAAACGGCUGCUAAUACCGAAUACGUUCUUUCCGCCGCAUGACGGAAUGAAGAAAGGGAGGCCUUCGGGCUUUCGCUGGAGGAGGGGCUUGCGUCUGAUUAGCUAGUUGGAGGGGUAACGGCCCACCAAGGCGACGAUCAGUAGCCGGUCUGAGAGGAUGAACGGCCACAUUGGGACUGAGACACGGCCCAGACUCCUACGGGAGGCAGCAGUGGGGAAUCUUCCGCAAUGGACGAAAGUCUGACGGAGCAACGCCGCGUGAACGAUGACGGCCUUCGGGUUGUAAAGUUCUGUUAUAUGGGACGAACAGGACAUCGGUUAAUACCCGGUGUCUUUGACGGUACCGUAAGAGAAAGCCACGGCUAACUACGUGCCAGCAGCCGCGGU
rnacentral:rRNA from 1 species